rnacentral:rRNA from 1 species
AUGCACGCUGGCGGCGUGCUUAACACAUGCAAGUCGAACGGAAAGGCCCAAGCUUGCUUGGGUACUCGAGUGGCGAACGGGUGAGUAACACGUGGGUGAUCUGCCCUGCACUUCGGGAUAAGCCUGGGAAACUGGGUCUAAUACCGGAUAGGACCACAUUUUGGAUGGUGUGGUGGAAAGUUUUUCGGUGUGGGAUGAGCUCGCGACCUAUCAGCUUGUUGGUGGGGUAAUGGCCUACCAAGGCGUCGACGGGUAGCCGGCCUGAGAGGGUGUACGGCCACAUUGGGACUGAGAUACGGCCCAGACUCCUACGGGAGGCAGCAGUGGGGAAUAUUGCACAAUGGGCGCAAGCCUGAUGCAGCGACGCCGCGUGGGGGAUGACGGCCUUCGGGUUGUAAACUCCUUUCGCUAGGGACGAAGCGCAAGUGACGGUACCUGGAGAAGAAGCACCGGCUAACUACGUG